UACGAAGGGGGCUAGCGUUGCUCGGAAUCACUGGGCGUAAAGCGCACGUAGGCGGACUCUUAAGUCAGGGGUGAAAUCCUGGAGCUCAACUCCAGAACUGCCUUUAAUACUGGCGGCCUUGAGUAUGGCAGAGGUGUGUGGAACUCCGAGUGUAGAGGUGAAAUUCGUAGAUAUUCGGAAGAACACCAGUGGCGAAGGCGACACACUGGGCCAUUACUGACGCUGAGGCGCGAAAGCGUGGGUAGCAAACAGG
rnacentral:rRNA from 1 species